rnacentral:rRNA from 1 species
UGGGGAAUAUUGCACAAUGGGGGAAACCCUGAUGCAGCGACGCCGCGUGAACAAAGAAGGUAUUCGUAUCGUAAAGUUCUGUCCUAUGGGAAGAUAAUGACAGUACCAUAGAAGAAAGCUCCGGCUAAAUACGUGCCAGCAGCCGCGGUAAUACGUAUGGAGCGAGCGUUGUCCGGAAUUAUUGGGCGUAAAGGGUACGCAGGCGGUUUAAUAAGUCGAAUGUUAAAGAUCGGGGCUCAACCCCGUAAAGCAUUGGAAACUGAUAAACUUGAGUGGAGAGGAAAGUGGAAUUCCUAGUGUAGUGGUGAAAUACGUAGAUAUUAGGAGGAAUACCAGUAGCGAAGGCGACUUUCUGGACACAAACUGACGCUGAGGUACGAAAGCGUGGGGAGCAAACAGG